UCCGGUUUGUCACCGGCAGUCUCCCUAGAGUGCCCUUGCGUAGCAACUAGGGACAAGGGUUGCGCUCGUUGCGGGACUUAACCCAACAUCUCACGACACGAGCUGACGACAGCCAUGCAGCACCUGUGUUCCGGUUCCCUUUCAGGCACACCCACCUUUCAGCAGGCUUCCAGACAUGUCAAGGGUAGGUAAGGUGGGGAUGACGUCACUGUA
rnacentral:misc_RNA from 1 species